AUUAGGUUGCCCCUUUAAACUCUCAUUGCCCCCAUCCUGUGCUGUGCACGCUGCAAAUCUGCAACCGCUUUUGCUCAUUUCUUUAUCUUACAAGUGCAUUCUGACUAAUUAUUUUCUCCCAUAGAUGAUGUAGCAUAUGCAGGGAGUAUCUUGGUUGUCUGCUCUCUGGCUUGCAUGGACAAAGAACAUGUAUAUAUUUAUCUUGUACUUCCCAUCACUAAUAGCUGUCAUCAUGAUAAAUUUGAUACACUAAUCAGUUCAUCAACCAAACGUAAUCAGGUAUGUUUCUGAGUUCAUAUGAGGGCCACCUGUGCUUUGGGAAACGACAAUCAUUAGAAACCAUCACACGCACAUGCUUGAAUGGAGUCAUGGACCCACAGAAUAUUAAGCUAGCUCCUACAGGUUACCAGCCUUAAGCAAACACAACCUUCUUUUUCUUUUCACAGAACAAAAAAAAAAAAAACUCAUGCUGUGCUCAAGUGCAACUAGGCCAAGGAUUUGUGGUUUGUUUUCUUGAGACAAGUUUUCAAUUGUUGGUAAGUACUAUGUUCAUUCUAAAAACUUUAUUUGUAAAUAUAUUUAAUUCUAAUGAAAUGCAAGUGAAUUGCCCAUCUUUUUAUAUAACAUGUGUUAAUUUGGAUGGUAUUUAACUCAUUAUUCUACCAUGCAAAGCAUUUUUUUUCAAAAAAAAAAAAGAUUACCCAGCCUCUACAAUUAUUCUACCAGAGCUAGAGGUCUGGAAAACAAAUCCCGACUGACUCAAUUAAAUAAAGAUAGUUGCAUGCAGUUCACUUCUAUUCUAUAUUAAGGAAAGAGAGCUUCAAUUAAUGGGAGGGGCAAGUGUUGAAAUAUAAGUAAAUCUCCCAUCCUUCUUUAUGGUUUUUGGGUUUUAAAAUGGCUAUCAGAUGUAACUCAACAAUACUUUCAACUAGGAAUAUAGAGACUUAAUACAAAUUUAGACUAGGAGUUUCUUUUAUUUCCAUUUUAUUCUUUUGGGACUAGCAAUCUCUGUAUGAUUAUAUAUGUUGAUAUUAUUUUUUCAGUCAGGAAACAUAACGGAAAAAUCAUCCGACAAUGUUGUCAUCGAUUUAAUUGGCUGGCUUGCUCGUUGUGGGCCCCAUGUCGACACAUACUUCAUGGAUGACAUUGAACUAGCAAUAUAUAUAUAAUGUUUUGCGCUUUGCAGGCCUGCUUCAUAAACAAUUACGAACGCCACAAGUUGCCGAGAUCUUUUUGCCAGCUUAGAACAUGAGUCUCCAAUAGUUUAAUUAAACAAUAAAAACUAGGCUAAUUAUGGUGAAUAUGUUUUGAUGAUUAUCUGA
rnacentral:sRNA from 1 species